AGUGUCUUGCUCGAGUCAGUGCCA
rnacentral:siRNA from 1 species